rnacentral:rRNA from 1 species
ACAGCUCACUAGUCGAGUGACAUUGCACCGAAGAUUUACCGGGGCUAAGCAUGAUACCGAAGCAUUGGACUCUGAGGAGUGGUAGGGGAGCGUUGUAGGAGCGGCGAAGUCAUACCGAAAGGAAUGGUGGAGCGACUACAAGAGAGAAUGCCGGUGUGAGUAACGAAUAGAGGUGAGAAUCCUCUACACCGAUUGACAAAGGAUUCCUGGGGAAAGGUUCGUCCGCCCAGGGUAAGUCGGGGCCUAAGGCGAGGCCGAGAGGCGUAGUCGAUGGAAAACUGGUUGAAAUUCAGUACCGAUUAUAGGGAGAGGGAGAGACGGAGAUGGUAAGUUGUGCCGGUUAAUGGAUUCCGGUCGAAACGGAGCAGCUGGUAGGGAAGGCAAAUCCACCUACGGGAAGCAGGCCGUGACAGGGAGCGAAAGGGAAACCAAGUAGUGAAGACAAUGUAGACAGCUUCCAAGAAAAUCUUCUAUCAAAAACUUAUAAUUGCCCGUACCGAGAACGAACACACGUGGUCAAGGAGAGAAUCCUAAGGUGAGCGAGACAACUGUUGCUAAGGAACUCUGCAAAAUCACCCCGUAAGUUAGCAAGAAGGGGAGCUCGAGAGAGCCGCAGUGAAAAGGCCUAGGCGACUGUUUAACUAAAACACAGCUCUAUGCUAAGCCGAAAGGCGAUGUAUAUGGGGUGACGCCUGCCCAGUGCUGGAAGGUUAAGGGGAAAUGUUAGUGAGCGAUUGCGAAGCAUAGAACCGAAGCCCCAGUGAACGGCGGCCGUAACUAUAACGGUCCUAAGGUAGCGAAAUUCCUCGUCAGGUAAAUUCUGACGCGCACGAAUGGCGUAACGAUCUAGGCGCUGUCUCAGCAACAGGCUCGGUGAAAUCUAACUACCUGUGAAGAUGCAGGUUACCCGCGACUAGACGGAAAGACCCCAUGGAGCUUUACUAUAACUUGAUAUUGGGAUGUUGCUAUUGAUGUACAGGAUAGGUGGGAGACGAAGAAGUGAAGGCGUCAGCCUUGAUGGAGUCAACGUUGGGAUACCACUCUUCAAUAGUGACGUUUCUAACCCAGGCCGUGAAACCGGUCACAGGGACAGUGUCAGGCGGGUAGUUUGACUGGGGCGGUCGCCUCCUAAAGAGUAACGGAGGCGCCCAAAGGUACCCUCAGUAUGGAUGGAAAUCAUACAAUGAGUGCAAAGGCAAAAGGGUGCUUGACUGUGAGACAAACAAGUCGAACAGGGACGAAAGUCGGGCUUAGUGAUCCGGCGGUGCUGAGUGGAAAGGCCGUCGCUCAACGGAUAAAAGCUACCCUGGGGA